CAACUUACUUUAAUUCUGGAAAUUUUAGUUAUUUAAAGCAAUUUAUUAGUGGUGAUGAAAGAUACUGUAUUUUCAUAAAAUAUAAAUACAUUAAUGUAAAUAAAGUAUAUCAUCAUGUAAUGUCUAAAGUGCCAAAAAAUUGAAAUGAAGGAAGAAACAAAAAAAUCCCAAUUUAACAGUUUUUUACAGACCUGUUUCACGUAGGAAAUAUGAAAAUUCUGGCGCACUUGUGAACUUCUAAAUUAUGUUUUGGUUAGAUGAGUUACAGUCUUUCUGCCUGUAUACAGUGAGAAGCGCAAUGUGUGUAAUUUGUGUGUGUUUUUACUUCAUUAAUAUAUCAGAUAGGUAAAAGCAAUUUUUCAGUGUAUAGAAAAAUAACUUUCCAAAGGGAGAACAACAAAAGUGCAAAGUAAAUAUAUUUUUUUUAAUGCACUGUUACAUAGACAUACGUAGGUGUACCAAUAUCUGUCUGGUUUCAGUAUGAUCUGAAGAAAUCAAACGAACUGCAUUGCUCACUAUUUUUAUGAAUAUUUAGUAAUCCAAAAAGAGACCAUUUUGAUAGUAACCUAGUAAAACAGUGAAAUGCUAAUACAGUGAAGACUUACGGAACGUAAGAGGGAAUCCGUCUUUGGUAGGCUUUAAGCAAAGUGAUCCAAAUGUGAAGAAUAUAAUUAAAUUACUGCAUGUUUAUUAUACUUUAAUGAAUCUGACAAAAAUAUCACAACAAAAACCCAUACUUUUUCUUUCUGUUCUUAACAAACAUUCAUUUUAGGAAUUCAGGUUCCAGAUUCUUACCUUAUUUAAAACUGGAUGGGAUAAUGGUGAAAAAAGUGGAAUGAAGAAGUUCUUCCAUUCUGCAGUUUUUAAGAAAAAACGGGAUCCUGGGAAUUUUACUGAUGUUCUGAAGUACAGUCCUGUCAAAAAAGAAAUGAAAUUGUGUCCGAGGAAUCAUAGUUGCAGAACAAACUGAUGCAUCAUUGCAUUCUGUCAAGGUGCGUUGGGAAGGUAAACCUAAUUAGCCAAUAACCUUUAAAGGUCUAGGCUGGUGGUGUUAGAUAUAUGGAAUUCCUACUAAGAUGAACCUGUAAUUAACAACAAGAGAUAGUCCUUAGACAAAACUUUCUCAGGGAGCCUCAGAGGGGUAGCCAUGUUAGUAUGUAUAUUCAAAAACAACUAGUCGUCCUGUGGCACCUUAGAGAUUAACAAAAAUAUAUAUAGUAUCAUGAACUUUUGUGGGCAAAACUCACUCAUCUGAAGAAGUGGUUUUUGCCCACAAAAGUUGAUGAACAUUUGUUGUUUCUCAGGGAAGAUGCUCUUAACUGACCGUCUUUACUUCAGUCCUGACUUUUGCAGUAUCGAGAAUGCAAAGUGGCUAGUUAAACAAGAAAACAAAAACCUCGCUGUACUGCAUGAGAUGAUUAAUAGCAUUAUGCCAUUUCAAAUAAUUGCUCUUUUGGCUUGCAUUGGUAAGAAUAGUUUCUUAUCUCUGUAUUUUACUGUACAUUUCAACUGGCCUUGUGCUCCUCUUCCAAAUAACCCUAUUUACAUUGUGAAAAUUCACUUCCUCUUUUCUCCAAAGGGCUUGUGCUAAUAGAUGGGCAGUGGUUUGGAAAUGUCACCCUUCUUUUAAGAGGCAGGAUCUAUUUGCCCUCUUGGCUUAUAGAUUUGAGAGUUCUGCACCUCCAGCUUCUGGAGAUGAUCAUUCUAUAACUUGAAACUCAAUCUAGAAUCAAAACAGAUUUCUAGAACUGAGAGCUUGUUUCUUUGACAGUAUUAAACUAACCCACUUACCCUUUUGAGUAUUUUUUUUACUCUCUUAAACAGGCUAAGCAGGUACAGCCAAGCAAGAUAUUGCUAGAGGAACAAUAAGAAAAAGGGUAAAGUAGCAUUCACCCUUUUAGAGUUGUUUGACUGACAAUGCCAGUACUAAAGUGAGAAAGCAAGUUAUAUCUGCUGGCCAAAAAUCAGUAUUGUAAAUUUGCAUGAAUUCAGCACACACUAUUAGAGCUUUUGCAUUCCUAUUUUAAAGUUCUGUUAAAGGGGGGCGGGGUAACAUGGACCUGAAAAAUGUAUUUAGAAUGCUUAGCACAGGUGAGAGCAUACUGUUGGUGGGAGACAUCUUAAUGCCAUAUUUCUAACACUGUUCCUAUUUUUUCCCCAUGACAAGCCCUAAAAAGGUGAGUAGGAGGAACAUACAUACCUGUUAGUAUCGCACCUAUCUUUUUUUAUCACGUGAAAAUGUGAAAAAGCUUAACAUACAUGUGUUUCUAUCUUCAAUACAUCUGUACUAAUGCGUAGGCUAACUUGUAAUUACAUCUUAAGUUUGUACACUAUGAAGUUGGGGACCUCACAAGAAACAUAUUCCACACUUCUCCUCUUCUCCCCCCCCUUGCCUUUUCCAAAAGUGUGAUGUUCUCCAUCUGCAGAGGCAGCUGUGAUAAUUCGUAUUUCAAAGGGGAAAUCUGAGUGAUAUGGACCUGAGAGAGAACUUGUUGCUUCAAAUUAUGUCCUGAAAGUGAGUCUGAAGGAAUCUGGAUUCUCUAAAUUGAAAUAAUUCAGGGAAACACUUUAACACUAUAACUAUUUCUUACCCAGGUAUCAGCUUUUAAGAUGCCCCUAUCACUGAGCCCCAUAUAUGCAAGGUACCCACACGAAAAGCUGUAGACUAUUCAUAUUUCCCAAUAGCCUGUUUCAUAGGGCCAGACAAGUAGUACAGGGCAGAGCAGGAGCAGGAGACCUGGCUGAUCUGAAAAUGUAGUUAACUGCAGCAAGUCCACUAGGUAUUUGGGGCAAAUGAAUUAGGUUUUUGGGUUUGUUUGUUUAUUUAUUUAUUUAUUUAUUUAUUUAAUGACUGUAGUCCUGAUGCUCUUAAAUAACUACUUGUUCUCUUUUCUAGUUACAGGCUUUCUGGUAGAACAGAAUGGAAGAACAUUUUAACUUGUGUGUAAUAUGUCAUUGUUAAGAAUGUCUUCAAUGUAUUGCGUUAUGCGCUUCGGUCCCUUAUAUCAUGUUUUAAAAUAAUCAAAAUACCAUUUGGAAUUUCACCAUUGUUGGGCUUUGAGGAGAUGUAGCAGCACAUCAUGGUUUGUAGGGACAAGGAGAUACAGACCAUGCUGGGCUGCCUCAUUACCUCAAGGAUAGACAAGAAAGGGAGCUUCUGGGUGUCAGCCGUGGAAGCUGCCACCUUCUCAUGUCUCUCUUAGGUCAGUUGAACAGGUAUGUUUAAAUAUGUUUAGUAGUGCUGUCACAUGUACCCUUUUUUCCAGCCUGCGAAGAUAAUUGUUUUUAUGUAUUGGUGUGGUGAAUUUGCCUAAAACAAAACACAUUGUGUUAUUUUAGCUCAUUGACCUGAUCCCAGGCCAUGUGAUUGUUCAAUAUUUCAUUAAUCUCCAAUAUCAGCAAUAGCUUCAUCUUAAUACACUAAAUCAUCUUCAAUGUUGUGUCUCCAGUUGGCUUAUACCAGUUGCACAUGGCUUGACUUAAUCCUGCUUCCUGUUUUGUUCAGCAUUCUUUCCUCCAUUGUAAGACAAAUUAGAAGUGCUAUGACAACCUGCAGGGAUUGUUAAAAAAAAGGGGGGGGGGUUCUGGAAGUCCUGGAGACCUCUUUACCGUGGAAGUAUGUCAGCAGUGCUCUAGCAGCACGUAAAUACUGGAGUUUAGGAUUGCCUAGCUGCUCUCCAGUAUUGCGUUGCUGCUUUAGUGAGGCUGGAUAGGUGCCCCCGGCAGAAACCAGCCUGUAGUGCCGAGGGCAACAAAAGGACGUUAUCGCACUGUUCAGUUUGGAGAGAUGCUGUACAAUCAGGUUUUUGUCGGGGUGCGGUGGUAAGAGGUUUCCCUGUCUGUAGUUCUAACUUAAAAUGAUAUGAAGGUGGGAAAAAUUGA